rnacentral:rRNA from 1 species
CAACAGGGAUUGCCUUAGUAACUGCGAGUGAAGCGGCAAGAGCUCAAAUUUGAAAUCUGGCGUCUGCACGGCGUCCGAGUUGUAAUUUGGAGGGGCAUCUUCGGGACCGGCACCCGUCCUAAGUUCCUUGGAACAGGACGUCGCAGAGGGUGAGAAUCCCGUUCGCGGGCGGGUAGCCGGCUCCAUUGUGAGGUGCUUCCGAAGAGUCGAGUUGUUUGGGAAUGCAGCUCAAAACGGGUGGUAAAUUUCAUCUAAAGCUAAAUAUGGGCGAGAGACCGAUAGCGCACAAGUAGAGUGAUCGAAAGAUGAAAAGCACUUUGAAAAGAGAGUUAAAAAGUACGUGAAAUUGUUGAAAGGGAAGCGCUUGCGACCAGACUCGGUUGCCGGUGGCCAUCCGGGUUUCGGCCUGGUGACGCUGCCGGCGAUUGGGCCAGCAUCGGUUCCGGCGGUGGGAUAAAAGGUGGGGGAAAGUGGCUGCCUUCGGGCAGUGUUAUAGCCCCCGUCACAAUGCUGCCAGCCGGGACCGAGGACCGCGCUUCGGCUAGGAUGCUGGCGUAAUGGUCUUAAGCGACCCGUCUUGAAACACGGACCAAGGAGUCUAACAUCUAUGCGAGUGUUCGGGUGGAAAACCCUUGCGCGUAAUGAAAGUGAACGCAGGUGGGAACCCCGCAAGGGGUGCACCAUCGACCGGUCCCGAUGUCUUCGGAAGGAUCUGAGUAAGAGCAUAGCUGUUGGGACCCGAAAGAUGGUGAACUAUGCCUGAAUAGGGUGAAGCCAGAGGAAACUCUGGUGGAGGCUCGCAGCGGUUCUGACGUGCAAAUCGAUCGUCAAAUUUGGGUAUAGGGGCGAAAGACUAAUCGAACCAUCUAGUAGCUGGUUCCUGCCGAAG